rnacentral:rRNA from 1 species
UAACCUUCGGGAGGGCGCUUACCACUUUGUGAUUCAUGCUGGGGUGAAGUCGUAACAAGGUAACCGUAGGGGAACCUGCGGUUGGAUCACCUCCUUACCUUAAAGAA